rnacentral:lncRNA from 1 species
UGGGACUCAUGGGACCUUCUUUUUCCUUGCUGAAUUAUUGACUAUUAAUGGAUUCUAGCAAUCAGGCAGUGAUUGUCUUUAGUUGUGUACCCACUGAAGAGCCACUGGGUUAAAUUGUAUAAUCACGAACCCACAAUCACACAGAUGACUCUUUCUACAAACUCAGUUGGUCUUAAAAUAUAAAAACAAAAGGACAAGAAAGUGGGGAAAGAACUUGAGGGGAGGGGUGAUAGGCAUGGGAAGGAGAUGACAGAUAGUGAGGAGAUCACAGUAAUCAGAAUGUACUUGAUAUAGUUGAAAUUGUCUACGUGUAAAUUUCAUGUUUUUUAAAUGGACUGACUUCUAAUGAGCCAAAUGGACCAUCUCUUAUUGACUCUCAGUGAAUAAACAUCACUGACUAUCUCAUAACCACUGUUUUAUAGCUACAUGCAGUUUAUCAUAAAACAUUAGAUACAUGGACUUAGAGUUCUGGUCUGGCACACAUUAACAACAACAACAACAACAAAAAAAGUGAUGUGAAGACUUCUAAGCUUCAGUCCUUCUGCAGGAAAACAAAGAUUAUAAUCUGUAGGGUAGUUAGAUACAUUAUUCUUAGUCUUUAUUGUAUUACUCAUAAAUAAAAUAUAGUAAGCAGAUAUUACAAAUAAGGUAGUUGCUAGGGAUAAGAUAAUGUGACUGGUGCCAUGAGAAUACUGAGCCAAUAUUUUGACCGUUCUUCAUCAAUACAUGUUGUGCUUCUUGAUGACAAGAUUGUAGACACUCUCUAUCAGGCCAGGCAGUAUUUGAGCUUCAUAUCUAAUGUAAAAAGAGCAGGAUACUUUUUCCCUAAUCUCAUUUGCUUAUUCCUAUCACAGAGCUUGAUACUUAAUAAUACUUUAAAAUAAUCAUCAAUCAAAAUUCAAUCCUUACUGUAUAGUUUUCACAUAAUACCUCCAUUCUGUCACAGUUAACAGAGGAUAUAUAGACUACACAAUAAAUCAGCAAAUAUUCCUUGACUAUCUUAGUAUUUCCCACCCACACAGAACACAACCAGGUAAAUAUGUAACCUUUGGAAAAUAUUUAAUCAGAAGCAGGUUGGAUCUAUGCAAAGAAAACUAUCAAAUUUAUAUAAAUAUGUAUCACUGCACUGUAUGUGUGUAAACCUGGAGGUAUUAGUGGAAAGGCAUAUGUGAUUUCUGACUGAAAAGAUUAAAUGUUGCAUGGAAACAUAAUCCUUUCUCUAAAUCCAUGGUUGCGAACAAUUUCCAAGAAUUUUUGAACAUUUAGACUGACGAGUUUAUCCAAUGAAGCAAUAAAACACGGUCUAGAGGCUCAAUGAUUAACCAUUGCAAUACACAAUAAAAUAGAUACAUAAGAACUAGAGAAGACACACUCAGAGGAGCCCUUGGUGAAAAUGAGAUUAUAAAAUGGGGAAAAGGUAGCCUGCACAGACAAAAACAGCAGUUUACCAUGCC